CUGCCUGCCCAGUGACCAAAGGUUAAACGGCCGCGGUAUCUUGACCGUGCGAAGGUAGCAUAAUCACUUGUCUCCUAAAUAGAGACUGGUAUGAAUGGCAAGACGGAACUUUACUGUCUCCUUUCCCCUAAUCCGAAUUUCACUCUCCCGUGAAGAGGCGGGAAUUUUAUCGUAAGACGAGAAGACCCUGUCGAGCUGCAGCAAAACCCUGAGUGCUAUUCGCUUCCUUGCCCGACUAAUAAUAUAUCACUAUAAGGCAAAUGAAGCAUAGCAAAUCAGGAUAAGCUUUGAUUGGGGCAAUCACGGAGAAAGAAAAUCCUCCGUUACUAACUGAUUCUUAUUUUAAUCUAACUCCAAGAACCUAUCAUUCUAGAUUCACAAAAUGAAGGUAUGAUCCACUCCCAGUGAUCAAAAGAAAAAGUUACCGCAGGGAUAACAGCGUUAUCUUUUCUGAGAGUUCACAUUGACGAAAAGGUUUGCGACCUCGAUGUUGGAUCGGGACAUCCUAAGGGUGCAGAAGCUUUUAAGGGUUGGUCUGUUCGACCAUUAAAGUCCUACG
rnacentral:rRNA from 1 species